GAUGAACGCUGGCGGCGUGCCUAAUACAUGCAAGUCGAGCGAACAGAUGAGGAGCUUGCUCCUCUGACGUUAGCGGCGGACGGGUGAGUAACACGUGGAUAACCUACCUAUAAGACUGGGAUAACUUCGGGAAACCGGAGCUAAUACCGGAUAAUAUAUUGAACCGCAUGGUUCAAUAGUGAAAGACGGUUUUGCUGUCACUUAUAGAUGGAUCCGCGCCGCAUUAGCUAGUUGGUAAGGUACCGGCUUACCAAGGCGACGAUGCGUAGCCGACCUGAGAGGGUGAUCGGCCACACUGGAACUGAGACACGGUCCAGACUCCUACGGGAGGCAGCAGUAGGGAAUCUUCCGCAAUGGGCGAAAGCCUGACGGAGCAACGCCGCGUGAGUGAUGAAGGUCUUCGGAUCGUAAAACUCUGUUAUUAGGGAAGAACAAAUGUGUAAGUAACUAUGCACGUCUUGACGGUACCUAAUCAGAAAGCCACGGCUAACUACGUG
rnacentral:rRNA from 1 species